UGCAGUCGAGGGCACCAGCAAUGGUGACCGGCGAACGGGUGCGUAACACGUGAGCGACCUACCGAUUCGUGGGGGAUAGCCGGCCCAACGGCCGGGUAAUACCGCAUACGUCGAGCGAGCCGCAUGGCUUGCUCGGGAAACCUCCGGGGCGAAUCGAGGGGCUCGCGGCCUAUCAGCUAGUUGGCGGGGUAAUGGCCCACCAAGGCAUCGACGGGUAGCUGGUCUGAGAGGAUGGCCAGCCACAUUGGGACUGAGAAACGGCCCAGACUCCUACGGGAGGCAGCAGUGGGGAAUCUUGCGCAAUGGCCGAAAGGCUGACGCAGCGACGCCGCGUGUGGGAUGAAGCUCUUCGGGGUGUAAACCACUGUUGCCCGGGACGAACGGCGGGAUUUUUUCCGCGUGACGGUACCGGGUGAGGAAGCACCGGCUAACUCCGUGCCAGCAGCCGCGGUAAUACGGAGGGUGCGAGCGUUGUCCGGAAUCACUGGGCGUAAAGGGCGCGUAGGCGGCUUGGCAAGCGGGCGGUGAAAGCCCGGGGCUCAACCCCGGGUCAGCCGAACAGACUGCUGAGCUGGACCAGACUAGAGGCUCGUGGAAUUCCGGGUGUAGCGGUGGAAUGCGUAGAGAUCCGGAAGAACACCGGUGGCGAAGGCGGCGAGCUGGGGUCUGUGUGACGCUGAUGCGCGACAGCGUGGGGAGCAAACAGGAUUAGAUACCCUGGUAGUCCACGCCGUAAACGAUGGGCACUAGGUGCCCGGGGGAGCGACCCCUCGGUGCGUCGCUAACGCAUUAAGUGCCCCGCCUGGGGA
rnacentral:rRNA from 1 species